UACGUAGGUUGCAAGCGUUGUCCGGAAUUACUGGGUGUAAAGGGCGUGUAGGCGGGAUAGCAAGUCAGAUGUGAAAUUCCGGGGCUCAACCCCGGCGCUGCAUCUGAAACUGUUAUUCUUGAGUGUCGGAGAGGAAAGUGGAAUUCCCAGUGUAGCGGUGAAAUGCGUAGAGAUUGGGAGGAACACCAGUGGCGAAGGCGGCUUUCUGGACGAUAACUGACGCUGAGGCGCGAAAGCGUGGGGAGCAAACAGG
rnacentral:rRNA from 1 species